rnacentral:lncRNA from 1 species
AUCGAGCCAAUUUUUUAUUCCCAUUUUGCUAUUAAAAUCUUGACACCCGUAAUAUUUUUGAGGUGUCAAAUUUUAGAAGUACACUGUAAAAAAGAUUGUUUUGACAUCUCAAAUUAUUAGAAAGGUGUCAUUUUAGUGGCAAGACAACAAAAGUGGGACAAUUCGUCGUCUUUCAUAUUUAUAAAGUGUUUGAGAGACAAUUUUUUAUGUAAAAAUAUAUUUUUAAAUAAUAAAUUAAUGGAAAAUGUAUAGUUGAAAAAUAAGAAAUUUUUUUUAUUUACGUGUAAUAUUAUUUUAAUAAAAAAUGUGUGAUUAAAAAUAAGAGAGAAAAAAGGCAUUUUAAAAGUUUCAUUAUCUGCCAGAGAAAUCCCAUACAGACACGAUCAAAUCUGCAUAAACUGAGCGAUUAUAGGCGCGAAAGCUGUGAGUUCAACGGGAAGUAAGAAACUGGAAUCGGCGCUUUUGACUUUAUUUCUCUCUUGGGUUUCUCUGAUGAGGGAGCUUUAUGGUUUCGGAUCAUAGCAUCAGAGACUCGGGAAGAAGAUGAUUCAGUACUGAAACAGCUCAAAAACCCUGAAAAGAAACCCAUUUUUUAUCUGCAAGCUGUGAAGAUGAUUUUGAUUUCUUGAUUGUAUGAGAAUGUGUGAUUAAUGGAACUUGUAAAUGGCCAUUUAUAAUAGAAAUGUGUGAAAUUUUCUUCCGAUGAUUUUGUCUUUAUUGAUGAAAUCGUGUUCUAUGCUUGUUGGGCCAGGAAUUGAAAAACGUUACGUGUAGCUUCUUGCUUUACUUUGUCAUAUUCUUAACUUCCCA